rnacentral:rRNA from 1 species
AAGAGAUGGCGACCGGCGCACGGGUGAGUAACACGUAUCCAACCUGCCGAUAACUCCGGAAUAGCCUUUCGAAAGAAAGAUUAAUACCGGAUGGCAUACGAAUAUCGCAUGAUAUUUUUAUUAAAGAAUUUCGGUUAUCGAUGGGGAUGCGUUCCAUUGGUUUGUUGGCGGGGUAACGGCCCACCAAGACUACGAUGGAUAGGGGUUCUGAGAGGAAGGUCCCCCACAUUGGAACUGAGACACGGUCCAA